rfam:Gossypium raimondii Chr11_contig_27, whole genome shotgun sequence.
UAUUAAAAAAUUCAUCAUUUCUACGGUUAAAUACUAGUGUGGCUAGUAGAAUAACUAAAUAGUUACACGUAACGUGUCACAUGUACCUCUUUUUGACAUAUAGAGACUAAAUUUUAACAGUAAUGGAUAGAAUUUUUAGCA